rnacentral:rRNA from 1 species
UAAUACGAAGGGGGCUAGCGUUGCUCGGAAUCAUUGGGCGUAAAGGGCGCGUAGGCGGCCAGAUUUGUCAGGCGUGAAAAUCCUGGGCUCAACCCAGGGACUGCGUUUGAAACGGUCUGGCUAGAGGACGGAAGAGGCUCGUGGAAUUCCCAGUGUAGAGGUGAAAUUCGUAGAUAUUGGGAAGAACACCGGUGGCGAAGGCGGCGAGCUGGUCCGUUACUGACGCUGAGGCGCGACAGCGUGGGGAGCAAACAGGAUUAGAUACCCUGGUAGUCCACGCCGUAAACGAUGCGCGCUGGGUGUCGGGGCCCCUAGGGCCUCGGUGCCGCAGCCAACGCGGUAAGCGCGCCGCCUGGGGAGUACGGCCGCAAGGUUG